GAAUCUAAUAGUUUAUUAUUUAUUAAAUUUUUAUAUUUAUUUUAAUAAAAAUAUUUUUUAUUUUAUUAUUUUUAUGAAAAAAUAUUUGUAAUUAUAGUUUAAAGUAUUGAGAAAGAAAAUAUAAAUUGUAUAAAAGAAAAAUUUAAGUUUUGUACCUUGUGUAUCAGGGUUGAUUAAAAAUAAUUUUAUAUUAAAUAUUCUCGAAUUUAAAAGAGCUAAUUAAUUAUUUAUUUUAUUGUAAAAUAAAUAUUUAAAAUAAUUAAUUAGAAAUGAAACGUUAUUCGUUUUUAAAUAUAUCUAGUUUUUAAAGAAAUUAAUUUAAUUUAAUUAUUUAUAGUUAAUUUUUUAUAUUUUUAAAUUUUUAUUAUAAAUAUUAAAUUUUUUUAGGGAUAAGCUUAAAAAAAUACUCUUAUAAUAGAUUAAAUAUUAAAUAAUUUAUAGGAUUAAAAUUUUCUAUUGUUAAAAAAAUGUUAUAAUUAAUUAUUUAUAUUUUAAUAUUUUUAUUUUUAUUUAAGUUUUUUAUUUAAAUAUAUUUUUGAUUUUAAUAAAAUUAGUAAUAAUGAUUAAAUUAGUAUAAUUUUUAUGUAAUUAUUAAUUAAUAAUUUUUAGGUUAAUUUAAGGAACUCGGCAAAUUUAUUUUUCACCUGUUUAAUAAAAACAUGUCCUUUUGAUUAUAAUUUAAGGUCUGAUCUGCCCACUGAGGAAUUAAAUGGCCGCGGUAUUUUGACCGUGCAAAGGUAGCAUAAUCAUUAGUUUCUUAAUUAGAAGCUGGAAUGAACGAUUGAAUGAGAAAAUAACUGUCUCAAUUUAAUUUAAUUAGAACUUUAUUUUUAAGUAAAAAAGCUUAAAUUUAGUUAAAAGACGAGAAGACCCUAUAGAGUUUUAUUUAUUUUUAAUAUAAAAAAUAUUGUUUGUAUAAUUUUUAUAUUAAAAAUAAAUUUUGUUGGGGUGAUAGAAAAAUUGAUUUAACUUUUUUUAUAUUUAAACAUUAAUUUAUGAUUAUUUGAUCCAAUUAUUUAUUGAUUAAAAGAAUAAAUUACCUUAGGGAUAACAGCGUAAUUUUUUUUGAGAGUUCAAAUCGAAAA
rnacentral:rRNA from 1 species